UACGUAGGGGGCAAGCGUUGUCCGGAGUUACUGGGCGUAAAGCGCACGCAGGCGGUCUCUUAAGUUUUGGAGUGACAGUUGGUGGCUUAACUGCCAAAGUGCUUCGAAAACUGAGAGACUUGAGGGCUUCAGAGGGACACGGAAUUCCGGGUGGAGUGGUGAAAUGCGUAGAGAUCCGGAGGAGCACCAAAGGCGAAGGCAGUGUCCUGGGGAGUACCUGACGCUCAGGUGCGAAAGCCAGGGGAGCGAACGGG
rnacentral:rRNA from 1 species